UACGAAGGGGGCUAGCGUUGUUCGGAAUUACUGGGCGUAAAGCGCACGUAGGCGGCUUUGUAAGUUAGAGGUGAAAGCCCGGGGCUCAACUCCGGAAUUGCCUUUAAGACUGCAUCGCUUGAAUCCGGGAGAGGUGAGUGGAAUUCCGAGUGUAGAGGUGAAAUUCGUAGAUAUUCGGAAGAACACCAGUGGCGAAGGCGGCUCACUGGACCGGUAUUGACGCUGAGGUGCGAAAGCGUGGGGAGCAAACAGG
rnacentral:rRNA from 1 species